rnacentral:rRNA from 1 species
AAACGAUGGGUGCUAGUUGUCAGGCAGCUUGCUGUUUGGUGACGCAGCUAACGCGUUAAGCACCCCGCCUGGGGACUACGGUCGCAAGACUAAAACUCAAAAGAAUUGACGGGGGCCCGCACAAGCGGUGGAGCAUGUGGUUUAAUUCGAGGCAACGCGAAGAACCUUACCAGCUUUUGACAUCCCGGUCGCGGUUAGCAGAGAUGCUUUCCUUCAGUUCGGCUGGACCGGUGACAGGUGCUGCAUGGUUGUCGUCAGCUCGUGUCGUGAGAUGUUGGGUUAAGUCCCGCAACGAGCGCAACCCUCGCCUUUAGUUGCCAGCAUUUAGUUGGGCACUCUAGAGGGACUGCCGGUGAUAAGCCGGAGGAAGGUGGGGAUGACGUCAAAUCAUCAUGGCCCUUACGGGCUGGGCUACACACGUGCUACAAUGGCGGUGACAGUGAGCAGCCACUCAGCAAUGGGGAGCUAAUCUCUAAAAGCCGUCUCAGUUCGGAUUGUUCUCUGCAACUCGAGAGCAUGAAGUUGGAAUCGCUAGUAAUCGUGGAUCAGCAUGCCACGGUGAAUACGUUCCCGGGCCUUGUACACACCGCCCGUCACACCAUGGGAGUUGGUUUUACCCGAAGACUGUGUGCUAACUUAGGAGGCAGCAGGCCACGGUAAGGUCAGCGACUGGGGUGAAGUCGUAACAAGGUAGCCGUA